ensembl:lncRNA
UUCACAGUUACAUGGGCAAUGGUGCUUUGGCAGCUUAAUGCAUAAGGUUGGGGCUGAAUGUUAUACACUCUUAAGACCCUCUAGUUCAUGAACUUCUCUAAGGGGACCUGUGGUUGGGGUGUAAUAGAAAGCAUUGUUCUCUCCCAACCUUAGAAUUGCCUGUAAGAUCAAGGACUCUGUGCUGAUUCUCCUUAAUUAGUAGAAAAUUCAGACUGGAUAUAAGGAAGACAUUUUUUACUAUCAGGGUGGUGUGGCACUGAAAUAGGUUGCACAAAGAGCUGGUGGGUCCCUUGCCCUCAGAGACACCCAAGGUCAGACUGGAGGGGCUCUGAGCACUGAUGGAGCUAUAGGUGUCUCUGUUCAUUGCAGGGGAGUUGGACGAGAUGGCCUUUAAAGGCCCCCCCAACUCAAACCAUUCUAUGGUUCUAUGAAAAUUAAAUGGAAAAGAUUUCCAGCUGGCGUCAGUGAAAUGUAUAAAGGAAACAAAAAAUUCCGAGAUUGGAUCAUCACUGUUAAAGACAAUUAGCAAAUAAAGACAUAAGCAUGAGAAACUUCAGAAAAGCCUACAGAAAGCCAUGCAACAGCCUUGGAAGGAAGAUGGGAUCUCAGCUUAAGUCCUCCACUUAACACAGAAGUGACGCACUCAAGACUGUGCCCAUAAUUUCUGUUAAUGUAAAGCCACCUCCUCCUCAAAACUCCUCAUUUGGCUGUGAAUUGCAGUUCAGAACUCACCCAAGAUUUCAGGCAGAACUCUUCAGAAACCAGAAGUGGUUUAUUCUUCAUUUCUUAUUUCUUAUAUUCUUAUUCACCUCGGGAGAGCAAGAAGGUCAGGUGGAUCCUGAGAAAUGCAGUCAGACUCCAGAGCUUGACAAGUCCUCGGUGUGCAGGAAAAUCUAAGGGAAAUGCCCACAUUAACUCAUAUUGAUGAUUACCCCAGCAGAGUCUGGACUCUCCCUCGAUUCAGUGAACACACUGGUAUGUAGCAGAGGCCAGACAGGCAUCCUGAAGCCAUAUCCUCCAACCCCACCUGUGGUUGCCUGUGAAGGGCAAUGCACCUUGAAUGCUCUCCUCAGUGCACAUGAGGACCUGAUUCUCUAUUCGGACCCACGUGGGUUUCUCCUUGCUCCUUCCCUAAGCUUCAAGUCUAUAUAAAUGUUCCCUGUUCUCAAAGUGC